rnacentral:rRNA from 1 species
GACGAACGCUGGCGGCGUGCUUAACACAUGCAAGUCGAGCGGUAAGGCCCUUUCGGGGGUACACGAGCGGCGAACGGGUGAGUAACACGUGGGUGACCUGCCCUCAGCUCUGGGAUAAGCCUGGGAAACCGGGUCUAAUACCGGAUAUGACUCCAUGACGCAUGUUGUGGGGUGGAAAGCCUUGUGCGGCUGAGGAUGGGCCCGCGGCCUAUCAGCUUGUUGGUGGGGUGAUGGCCUACCAAGGCGACGACGGGUAGCCGGCCUGAGAGGGCGACCGGCCACACUGGGACUGAGACACGGCCCAGACUCCUACGGGAGGCAGCAGUGGGGAAUCUUGCGCAAUGGGCGAAAGCUUGACGCAGCGACGCCGCGUGAGGGAUGACGGCCU